rnacentral:rRNA from 1 species
UCGCUCUUCAACGAGGAAUCCCUAGUAAGCACAAGUCAUCAGCUUGUGUUGAUUACGUCCCUGCCCUUUGUACACACCGCCCGUCGCUACUACCGAUUGAAUGGCUUAGUGAGACCUCCGGAUUGGCAUUCAGAAGUUGGCAACAACAUCUGUCUGCUGAGAAAUUGUUCAAACUUGGUCAUUUAGAGGAAGUAAAAGUCGUAACAAGGUUUCCGUAGGUGAACCUGCGGAAGGAUCAUUAAUGAUUUUUUAAGCAAGCCAAGCUUUUUUUUAUAAAAAGUGAGGUUUUGCGAAUGUAUUUAAAACCCCCACUCUUUUAAAAAAUAUAUAUUUCAUUCAUAUAUAAAAUGAAUAAAAAAAAAUCACUUUCAACAACGGAUCUCUUGGCUCUCGCAUCGAUGAAGAACGCAGCGAAAUGCGAUAGGUAGUGUGAAUUGCAGAUGUAACGUGAAUCAUCGAAUCUUUGAACGCAAAUUGCACUCUCUGGUAUUCCGGGGAGUAUGCCUGUUUGAGGGUCGCCAAAUCAACAUCGAAAUUCAUUUGCUUUUGUAAAUGUUUAUCGGAUUUGAGCCGUCUUUUUUUAUCUUGUUAAUUAAAGUGGCUUAAAAUGUAUUUUUUUUGGUAUCGAAAAACGUUAUUUUACGAUCAAAUUGAUUAAAAAAACAAACGUUUUCGAAUGCCGCCUUUUUAAUGUAAUACGUUUGACUGUGAUGGUUAAUCAUAGUUUCAUUCGUAUACGAUUUUUUAAUUUUUGACCUCAAAUCAGGUAAGAACACCCGCUGAACUUAAGCAUAUCAAUAAGCGGAGGAAAAGAAAAUAACAAUGAUUCCCCUAGUAACUGCGAGUGAAGAGGGAUAAGCUCAAAUUUUAAAUCUGUUUGGUUUUACCUGACAGAGUUGUAAUUUAAAGAGACGUUUUUCUGUGUCUUGAGUUAAUCAAAAUCCUUUGGAAUGAGGUAUCAUGGAGGGUGACAAUCCCGUUCAUGGUUAAUUCUAAGAUGCUUUAUGAUGCGUUUUCGAAGAGUCGAGUUGUUUGGGAUUGCAGCUCAAAAUGGGAGGUAAAUUUCUCCUAAGGCUAAAUAUUGGCGAGAGACCGAUAGCGAACAAGUACCGUGAGGGAAAGAUGAAAAGAACUUUGAAAAGAGAGUUAAACAGUACGUGAAAUUGUUGAAAGGGAAACGAUUGAAGUCAGUCGUACCAGCGGGAAAUCAACCUUUCGAGUGGGGGUUUUGGAGUUUUGAAGAGUGUCAAAACCUUUGAGAUUUUAAAAUUUUCGCUCUUUUGGUGUACUUUCUCGUGGGUAGGUUAACAUCGAUUUUGAUCAUCAUAAAAAGAUUGGAGGAAUGUAGCUUCGAUCUUGUAUUGAAGUGUUAUAGCCUUUGGUAAAUGUGAUGAUUAGGAUCGAGGAUUGCAACGAAUACCCUUUUGGGCUAUCCGCCUGAUCUCUGAUACGUGGCCUUGGUAUCGAAAGCUUGCUUAUGGUAUUAAGGUAUUACGGUCAAAAGGUUAGAACGGAUUACAUUCGUUAAGGAUGUUGACGUAAUGGCUUUAAACGACCCGUCUUGAAACACGGACCAAGGAGUCUAACAUAUAUGCGAGUGUU